CCAGCUUCUCCGUCAAGAACUCCCCUGGCUUCUCAAGAGAAGAGAGUGACUUUUCCAAGAUGUUCCUUCACAUUCAGGUGCCAGCCUCCACAGGGGCCGCAUGGGGCGCCUCCUCCCCUAAAGACUGCGCUGCAGAGAAACGCGAGACUGCAGAGGGAGAGAACUCCGGCGCUCCCCCUCGUGAUCCCUUUGAACUCCUGACAUCCCAGGGAGAAAUUCACUCUGUCGCCUGGACCAGAGUGCAGUGGCA